GAUGAACGCUGGCGGCGUGCCUAAUGCAUGCAAGUCGAGCGAACAGACGAGGAGCUUGCUCCUCUGACGUUAGCGGCGGACGGGUGAGUAACACGUGGAUAACCUACCUAUAAGACUGGGAUAACUUCGGGAAACCGGAGCUAAUACCGGAUAAUAUAUUGAACCGCAUGGUUCAAUAGUGAAAGACGGUUUUGCUGUCACUUAUAGAUGGAUCCGCGCCGCAUUAGCUAGUUGGUAAGGUAACGGCUUACCAAGGCAACGAUGCGUAGCCGACCUGAGAGGGUGGUCGGCCACACUGGAAGGGAGACACGGUCCAGACGCCUACGGGAGGCAGCAGUAGGGAAUCUGCCGCAAUGGGCGAAAGCCUGACGGAGCGACGCCGCGUGAAUGAUGAAGGUCUUCGGAGCGUAAAACUCUGUUAUUAGGGAAGAACAAAUGUGUAAGUAACUAUGGACGUCUUGACGGUACCUAAUCAGAAAGCCACGGCUAACUACGUG
rnacentral:rRNA from 1 species